UUUUGUUGUUGAACAACACAGCUCUUUAAUUUGUAUAAACUCUCCAAUGUAACUGUUGAGUUUUCUAACUAUUAGGUAUGCUAUAUAUUUGUUUUAUCUUCUUCUUUUGGUGAGAUUUCAGAAAAAGGCAUUGAACCCCAUGCUUUCCAUCACACACGGUCCUUUGAAUUUCCACAUGAAUUUAAAUGUUCUUCAUGCAAGAAAAUACUGCUAUGGAGUCCUCUGCAGUAGGAACAUUUCCAACCUUGAAUGAAACCAAACUAUCCAUCAGAGAAAAGACUAAUUAAAAU